rnacentral:rRNA from 1 species
UCAAGUUAUUAAGGGUGCAGGGCGGAUGCCUUGGCACUAGGAGCCGAUGAAGGACGUGAUAAGCUGCGAUAAGCUUCGGGGAGUUGCACGUAAACUUUGAUCCGAAGAUUUCCGAAUGAGGAAACUCACUUAGAGUAAUGUCUAAGUAUCAUUAAGUGAAUACAUAGCUUAAUGAGGGGAACUCAGGGAACUGAAACAUCUAAGUACCUGAAGGAAGAGAAAGAAAUUCGAUUCCGUAAGUAGCGGCGAGCGAACGCGGAUUAGCCCAAACCAAUAAAGUUUUCUUUAUUGGGGUUGCGGACAUAUCAUAACGAAGAGGUAUCGUAAUUGAAGAGGUUUGGAAAGACCCACCACAGAAGGUAAUAGUCCUGUAUGUUAAACGAGAAGACUUCAGAUAUGAUCCAGAGUACCACGGGACACGUGAAACCCUGUGGGAAGCAGGAGGGACCACCCUCCAAGGCUAAAUACUACCUAGUGACCGAUAGCGUAUAGUACCGUGAGGGAAAGGUGAAAAGAACCCCGGGAGGGGAGUGAAAUAGAACCUGAAACCCUGCACUUACAAGCUGUGGAAGCACAUUUCUUGUGUGACCGCGUACUUUUUGUAGAACGGGCCAACGAGUUACGUUAAGUAGCAAGGUUAAGCACUUAAGGUGUGGAGCCGUAGCGAAAGCGAGUUUUAACUGAGCGUUCAGUUACUUGACGUAGACCCGAAACCGGGCGACCUACCCAUGAGCAGGAUGAAGCGAAAGUAAAAUUUCGUGGAGGUCCGAACCCACGAGCGUUGAAAAGCUCGGGGAUGACUUGUGGGUAGCGGUGAAAUUCCAAUCGAGCCCGGAGAUAGCUGGUUCUCCCCGAAAUAGCUUUAGGGCUAGCCUCAAGGUGAGAGAUACGGAGGUAGAGCACUGAAUGUCCUAGGGGGUAUUGCACCUACCGAAGACUAUCAAACUCCGAAUGCCGUCAUCUUAUACUUGGGAGUCAGACUGUGGGUGAUAAGAUUCAUAGUCGAAAGGGCAACAGCCCAGAUCGUCAGCUAAGGUCCCUAAAUGUAAGUUAAGUGGUAAAGGAUGUGGGAUUGCACAGACAACCAGGAUGUUGGCUUAGAAGCAGCCACUCAUUCAAAGAGUGCGUAAUAGCUCACUGGUCGAGUGAUCCUGCGCCGAAGAUUCCGGGGCUAAAACUUACUACCGAAGCUACGGCAUCAGUAAUGAUGGGUAGGGGAGCUUCCCAUACGGGUUGAAGCAUGACCGUAAGGACAUGUGGACAGUAUGGGAGUGAGAAUGUUGGCAUGAGUAGCGAGAUGUGGGUGAGAAUCCCACAGGCCGUAAACCCAAGGUUUCCAGGGGAAGGUUCGUCCGCCCUGGGUUAGUCGGGACCUAAGCUGAGGCCGAAAGGCGUAGGUGAUGGACAACAGGUUGAUAUUCCUGUACUACCGAUAACCGUUUGAGAGAAGGGAUGACACAGUAGGAUAAGCUAAGCACACUGUUGGUUAUGUGUGCCCAAGCAUUGAGGCAGUCAAAGUAGGCAAAUCCGCUUUGAUAAUGCUGGGAUGUGAUGGGGAGCGAAAUUUAGUAGCGAAGUAGCUGAUUUCACACUGUCAAGAAAAGUCUCUAUCGAGGUUAAAGGUACCCGUACCGCAAACCGACACAGGUGGGUGAGGAGAGUAUCCUAAGGCCAGCGAGAGAACUGUUGUUAAGGAACUCGGCAAAAUGACCCCGUAACUUAGGGAUAAGGGGUGCCACCAUCAGGUGGCCGCAGAGAAUAGGCCCAAGCGACUGUUUACCAAAAACAUAGGUUUCUGCUAAGUCGCAAGACGAUGUAUAGGAGCUGACGCCUGCCCGGUGCUGGAAGGUUAAGGGGAUCUGUUAGAGCAAUCGAAGCAGUGAACUUAAGCCCCAGUAAACGGCGGCCGUAACUAUAACGGUCCUAAGGUAGCGAAAUUCCUUGUCGGGUAAGUUCCGACCCGCACGAAAGGCGUAACGAUUUGGGCACUGUCUCAACAACAGACUCGGUGAAAUUGUAAUUCCGGUGAAGAUGCCGGAUACCUGCGACAGGACGGAAAGACCCCAUGGAGCUUUACUGUAGCUUGACAUUGGGUUUUGGUACUACAUGUACAGGAUAGGUGGGAGGCUUUGAAACCAGGACGCCAGUUUUGGCGGAGCCAUCCUUGGGAUACCACCCUUGUAGUACUGGGACUCUAACCAUAGGCCAUGAAUCUGGUCUUGGGACACUGUCAGGUGGGCAGUUUGACUGGGGCGGUCGCCUCCCAAAAGGUAACGGAGGCGCUCAAAGGUUCUCUCAGUACGGUCGGAAAUCGUACGUAGAGUGUAAAGGCAAAAGAGAGCUUGAUUGCAAGACAUACAGGUCGAGCAAGGAUGAAAAUCGGACUUAGUGAUCCGGUGGUUCUGCGUGGAAGGGCCAUCGCUCAACGGAUAAAAGCUACCCUGGGGAUAACAGGCUUAUCUCCCCCAAGAGUCCACAUCGACGGGGAGGUUUGGCACCUCGAUGUCGGCUCAUCACAUCCUGGGGCUGUAGUAGGUCCCAAGGGUUGGGCUGUUCGCCCAUUAAAGUGGUACGCGAGCUGGGUUCAGAACGUCGUGAGACAGUUCGGUCCCUAUCCGUCGCAGGCGUAGGAAAUUUGAGAAGACCUGUCCUUAGUACGAGAGGACCGGGAUGGACGUACCUCUGGUGUACCAGUUGUUCUGCCAAGGGCAUGGCUGGGUAGCUAUGUACGGAAUGGAUAAGCGCUGAAAGCAUCUAAGCGCGAAGCCAACUUCAAGAUAAGAUUUCCCACCGCAAGGGUAAGACCCCAGAAAGACUAUCUGGUUGAUAGGUCGAAGGUGUAAGUGCAGCAAUGUAUUUAGCUUAUCGAUACUAAUAGGUCGAGGACUUGACCAA